CCCUAUGGGGUGCUGCGGGGGGCUUCCGGCGGUCACUGCGACACCGCGGCAGGGGCGAAGCUGUCCAUCGUCGUGGCUCCCUCCUUCCGGGGCGGGGUCCCGACGAUCAAGGACCGGGUCCAGACCGUCGUGACCCCGGGUGAGACUGUGGAUGCCAUCGUCACGGAGCGGGGCAUCUGCCUCAACCCGAACCGGGCGGAUCUCUGGGCGGCGGCCCGGAAAGCCAACCCCCCGGUGAAGGAGAUCGGGGAGCUCAAGAGGGAAGUCGAGCGUUGCACCGGCGUGCCCGAACCGGUCGAGAUGGACACGGACCGGGUCGUCGCCGUCGUGGAGUACCGGGAUGGGACCCUGCUCGACAGCAUUUACCGGGUGAAGGAAUUGGCGGGAGAGC
rnacentral:rRNA from 1 species